ensembl:lncRNA
UUCGUUGAGAGAACGAGUCUUCUCGUUAUUGUGAAGAAGUUCAGUGAGAAUUCAAAAUGCAGAAUUUUGGGUGGAAGUGCUCCUGUUUUCUUUUGCGGUUGCUGUUUUGUCCUCGUCAUCAUCCUGACUAAAGAUUUUUCCAAUUCUUAUCCGUUUGGAAGUGUUGGCUAAUUCCUCCUCCAUCUCUUCACGGGUCUCUGGAAGUGACCACAGUUAAUACAACUUGUUGUUCCCGAGUCAUAGUAAAGAUUUGUUCAAAAUGAACGAAUCAUUCGAAAAUCUACCGGAAAUAGUACACCAUCCGGGUACCUUUGGGAUCCUCAUCUCAACAAACUACAAUUCGGAACACACUACUUCUGAUCUCGUAUACUAUUUAGGAUGGAUAUUAGGCGAAUUAGGACGCGACAAAUGGUUUGUCAUGUUACAGAGAAACCGGAAACCAUAAACUCUUCUGUCCCGAAGAUUUUCCUGUGGCAGAAAAUGUACUGUAAUAAAUCACUGACACUGGACACUCUUUCCACAAAUAUUAAAUGAGCACCCCCUUACUGAAAAAUUCACCAUAUCAUACAUAUUAUACAUCCUUCUUUAUUAAAUAGCACAUUUUAAAAUCUGUUUAUUCUUAAUCAUAGAUAAGAGAUAACUUUUAUUUAGCUGGUAACCUUUUACAACGAGAGCAUUAAUAUUAACGUAUUAAUG